AGAGAAUCCCCUGCUCAGGGAUUAAUCUACACAUGCAGUAGCUAGUUUCAUUAUUUGGACACACACCAGGGCAGCGCUGAGAUGGAUUACACUGGUGUAUCUGCCCAGACUAGCCCAGGAUCCUGGUUCCUGUCUUGGAAAGUGAAAGAUGCAAGGAGUCCCUGGGAAGAGGCAUUUCAUUAAGGAUGGACAUGGGGUCAUGAUGAAGAAGAGGGCCAGAAGAAGUCAUAGCAAGGGCAUCUCCCACCGAUGGAACAAGAACCAAGAGAUGAAGCACAUCAAAAACAAAGGCAGAAAUGGAGAAACAGAUUCCUGACAGAUCUUGUUACGUGUUUUGCUGCUUUUCUGUUUGAACAAAGUCGUGAUGAGCCUCUCGAGUCUGAGAGGAACCAGGAAAGGAAAAUGGGAGUGUGCAGCUGCCUCAAGGAGGAGGCCAGAUGAGGACGGGCAGGAGGUUCUCCAGGCUGAGAAAGAAGACAUGGAGACAACCUGGUAUUGCACUGGGAUCUGGAAGCUUCAUGCAUGUUUCAGAACACCUUUAAACAGAAGGCUUUUGAGGGAGUGGUGGAAGGAGGCUACUAUUUAAACAAAGUGCUUAUUCUACUUGAAGAAGUUGAAUUGCAGUCUGGGGGUGCACUACGGCCACUCCCAAAGCUGCGGGCACAACAAGCUGAGGCAUCACUUAACACUGUAUUUUAAGGCCUUGUAGCCCAAGAUGAGAUGCACCCAAAUGAACCUGGAAGGACUGGAGACUAGGG
ensembl:lncRNA